rnacentral:rRNA from 1 species
AUACGGAGGGUGCAAGCGUUAAUCGGAAUUACUGGGGCGUAAAGCGCACGUAGGCUGCUUUGUAAGUCAGGGGUGAAAUCCCCACGGCUCAACCGUGGAACUGCCUUUGAUACUGCUUAGCUUGAAUCCGGGAGAGGGUGGCGGAAUUCCAGGUGUAGGAGUGAAAUCCGUAGAUAUCUGGAGGAACAUCAGUGGCGAAGGCGGCCACCUGGACCGGUAUUGACGCUGAGGUGCGAAAGCGUGGGGAGC